AGAGCCUAGGACAGAGGGCAGACGGAGCUCGUUUGGAUCCCUUAGGACACAAGUCUCCCCCAACCACAGGACCCCCACCGAAGUGGCCUUCUCUGGAAGUUCCCCUCCCAGGCCUCAGUGUUCGGGUAACUUGGUCUUCCCUCGCUCCUGUCCCAGCGCCCAUCACCCAGAAGGCAGACACCGAUGGCAAAACACGAAGCAGAGCCCACCAGCCCAGACAGGGUUACCUUUUUGCGUGGCCGAAGCUUGUCCCGCCAUUCCUUUAGGGUCUGGUUAUGACUUUCGUCCAGAGCCUUCAGCUUCUGGGUUUCAUGCUCUACCAGGAGGUGACACUUUUCAUUCUGCAACAUAUUCCAGGAAGUACAGCAUGAAGGCAUCCAUCCGCAAGCCAGAGAGAGAGACUUCACCAGAACCCAGCCAUGCUGGCAAAGCUGAUCUUGGAUUUCC